rnacentral:rRNA from 1 species
UACUUCCAAGAAAAGCCGCGUACAGAGUCACUUUGGUGUCCGUACCGCAAACCGACUCAGGUGGGCGGGGUGAGUAUCCCAAGGCGCGUGAGAGAACCCUGGUUAAGGAACUCUGCAAAAUGACACCGUAACUUCGGGAGAAGGUGUGCCGUUGAGCGUGAAGAGGCUUGCCCUCGGAGCGUUCGGCGGUCGCAGAGAAACGGGGGUUGUGACUGUUUACUAAAAACACAGGACUCUGCGAAGUCGCAAGACGACGUAUAGGGUCUGAUGCCUGCCCGGUGCUGGAAGGUUAAGGGGACGUGUCAGCGCAAGCGAAGCACCGAACCGAAGCCCCAGUAAACGGCGGCCGUAACAAUAACGGUCCUAAGGUAGCAAAAUUCCUUGUCGGGUAAGUUCCGACCUGCACGAAGGCAUAACAACAUCCCCGCUGUCUCGACCAGGGACUCAGCGAAAUUGUAUCGGGGGUGAAGAUACCCUCUACCCGCGGCAAGACGGAAAGACCCCAUGAACCUUCACUGCAGCUUGGCAGUGAUUUUCGGGAUGUUCUGCGUAGGAUAGGUGGGAGGCUUUGAAGUCGGGCUUCUGGGUUCGGCGGAGCCAACGUUGAAAUACCACCCUGGAUAUUCUGGAAAUCUAACCUGGACCCAUGACCUGGGUCGGGGACACUGCCUGGUGGGCAGUUUGACUGGGGCGGUCGCCUCCAAAAAAGUAACGGAGGCGUGCGAAGGUCCCCUCAGCCUGAUUGGAAACCAGGCGUAGAGUGCAAACGCACAAGGGGGCUUAACUGUGAGACCGACAGGUCGAACAGGUGCGAAAGCAGGCGUUAGUGAUCCGGUGGUUCUGUAUGGAAGGGCCAUCGCUCAUCGGAUAAAAGGUACUCUGGGGAUAACAGGCUGAUCGCGCCUGAGAGUUCAUAUCGGCGGCGCGGUUUGGCACCUCGAUGUCGGCCCAUCGCAUCCUGGGGCUGGAGCAGGUCCCAAGGGUUCGGCUGUUCGCCGAUUAAAGCGGUACGCGAGCUGGGUUUAAAACGUCGUGAGACAGUUUGGUCCCUAUCUGCCGUGGGCGUAGGAUACUUGAGAGGAGCUGCCCAUAGUACGAGAGGACCUGGGUGGACGUACCUCUGGUGUUCCGGUUGUCCUGCCAAGGGCAUAGCCGGGUAGCCAUGUACGGAAUGGAUAACCGCUGAAAGCAUCUAAGCGGGAAGCCAGCCUCAAGACUAGGUAUCCCCGUGCCGCAAGGCACCUAAAGACCCCUUGUAGACUACAAGGUUGAUGGGCCAGGUGUGGAAGCCGACAAAUCGGCGGAGCUAACUGGUACUAAUAGGUCGUGAGGCUUGACCUG